AGUGAACGCUGGCGGUAGGCCUAACACAUGCAAGUCGAACGGCAGCACAGUAAGAGCUUGCUCUUACGGGUGGCGAGUGGCGGACGGGUGAGGAAUACAUCGGAAUCUACUUUUUCGUGGGGGAUAACGUAAGGAAACUUGCGCUAAUACCGCAUACGACCUACGGGUGAAAGCAGGGGAUCUUCGGACCUUGCGCGAUUGAAUGAGCCGAUGUCGGAUUAGCUAGUUGGCGGGGUAAAGGCCCACCAAGGCGACGAUCCGUAGCUGGUCUGAGAGGAUGAUCAGCCACACUGGAACUGAGACACGGUCCAGACUCCUACGGGAGGCAGCAGUGGGGAAUAUUGGACAAUGGGCGCAAGCCUGAUCCAGCCAUACCGCGUGGGUGAAGAAGGCCUUCGGGUUGUAAAGCCCUUUUGUUGGGAAAGAAAAGCAGCAGGUUAAUACCCCGCUGUUCUGACGGUACCCAAAGAAUAAGCACCGGCUAACUUCGUG
rnacentral:rRNA from 1 species